AGAUUCCAUGUCUACCUUGAGAUGAAACUGGAGAGAGAAUGAGUGAAGGAGGAUCAUGCGUGAGGUUGAAUAAGCAUUUGUCUCUCACCUGCUUGAUGACCACUAAUAUAUAGCUUAUAUGUUUUACCUUGAGAUGAAAUUGUGGAGAGAAUGAAUAAAUCUGCCUCCAGUUUUACCUUGAUGUUUAUUACAGAGAUGAAUGAUUGGGGGGUGUCCAAACUUGGUCCCUGAGGGCUGGUGUCCUAAGUUUACUUCCAACCCCAAUCAGAUGCACCCGGGCUAGGGCAGCUCAUCCCCCAGAGACGUCUUUCUCCUACAAUGCCCUGACCCUGAGAUCUGUGUGGAAUUUUCUGUUGCUUUAUCAGUGUGGGCUUGGCCUUCUGACUGGGUGCUUUUUUUAUUUUCUCUCAGUCCUGCUCCUGGUACUGUUGCACCCUUAACCACAUUUGUUUAUUAUGAAAUGGAGUAAACCUACAGCUGUGGAAAAAUAAAAUAAUUUUUCUCCUUAAAGAAAUAAAAAAAUAAAACAA
rnacentral:lncRNA from 1 species